rnacentral:rRNA from 1 species
AGCGAACGCUGGCGGCAGGCUUAACACAUGCAAGUCGAACGGGCAUCUUCGGAUGUCAGUGGCAGACGGGUGAGGAACACGUGGGAACAUGCCCUUCGGUUCGGAAUAACUCAGGGAAACUUGAGCUAAUACCGGAUACGCCCGAGAGGGGAAAGAUUUAUUGCCGAAGGAUUGGCCCGCGUCUGAUUAGCUAGUUGGUGAGGUAACGGCUCACCAAGGCGACGAUCAGUAGCUGGUCUGAGAGGAUGAUCAGCCACAUUUGGGACUGAGACACGGCCCAAACUCCUACGGGAGGCAGCAGUGGGGGAAUAUUGGACAAUGGGCGAAAGCCUGAUCCAGCCAUGCCGCGUGAGUGAUGAAGGGCCUUAGGGUUGUAAAGCUCUUUUAGCAGGGAAGUAAGCGAAAGUAGACGGUACCUGGCAGAAAAAGCACCCGGUCUAACUACGUG